UGGAGGUCCUCUGGGCUGCGAGGACUCGUCGGUGUGGAAGCUGGUCGGAGCAACGAGCUGGGGGAUCGGCUGCGCUUUGAAAAACAAACCGGGCGUUUACGCUCGCGUCACGGCGGCGCUCAGCUGGAUCCGCCAACAGAUGGAGAGAGAAGAGCGCCUCCGAUCACGAGCAGCGACAACCGGACCAAGCAGUAAACCCACAUGUCUGCGGCUUUUCGAUUCCACGUCAACGUGACGGAGCAGAGAAAAGAGUCGGUGCACAGCGGAGAGAGAGUUAGGCAUCGUUUAUUCCAAAAUAGAAAGCUCUAAGGCAAAACAGACGAGAGAAAAGUGAAGAACGCUUCAUAAAAA